AUAUGCCUCUUUACCAUAAAGCCAGCUGUGAAUGACAACCUGCAGCUGCAUGCUGUUGUGGUCACUGGUGUCACAUUAGGUUCUGAACCACAAACAGAGACGUUUCUUAGAACUGGUGGGCUAGUGCUGUAGGUAUUGAUGUAAAUGAUUGCUUAAGGUGGUGCUGCAGCAAUGUAUAAAAACUGAAGCCCUCAGAGCCAAGUGUUAUUUAUUCUUCUGUUACUGAGGUGAACUAUAACCUGCUCAGGUAGAAUUUAAUAACAGCGUGUCUGAACUGUACUUGACUUGAUCUCUGCUCAUCUCCAGGCUUCACUUCUCAUUUGGGCAUUUGAAUCACUGAAGACAUCUUCACCACCUGCUCUUCCAGACGACGGACUCGUGCCCGAACACCUGCAGGUUAACCAACCAACCACUGAUCAGUAAGGUAAAAAAUAAGGGUCAAUGAUAUGCUGGUUGUUGAACUUCUUAACACGUUCGUCAUCCACACAGAGCACAGUGACAGAGAGCACCACCAGCAAGAAAAUGGAAAGCUUCAUAUUUCUAUUUUAAAGACAAAAAAAGAACACUGAUAAGAUUAGCGGAGUGAUUUGUUGUGCAGUGCAGUGUUUGGUGGGAGUCGGCUCUCAGACGCAGGGAUCAAUGAAGAUGAAGGAAAUUCUCUGAAAUGUCAGAUUAAUUGCUAUGAGUUAAUAAACUAAAUGGGUGAAUG